rnacentral:rRNA from 1 species
CUGGCUCAGGAUGAACGCUAGCGACAGGCUUAACACAUGCAAGUCGAGGGGCAGCACGGGAGUAGCAAUACUUGGUGGCGACCGGCGCACGGGUGAGUAACGCGUAUGCAACCUACCUAUCAGAGGGGAAUAACCCGGCGAAAGUCGGACUAAUACCGCAUAAAACAGGGGCACCGCGUGGUGAUAUUUGUUAAAGAAAUUCGCUGAUAGAUGGGCAUGCGUUCCAUUAGGUAGUUGGUGAGGUAACGGCUCACCAAGCCGACGAUGGAUAGGGGAACUGAGAGGUUGGUCCCCCACACUGGUACUGAGACACGGACCAGACUCCUACGGGAGGCAGCAGUGAGGAAUAUUGGUCAAUGGGCGGGAGCCUGAACCAGCCAAGUCGCGUGGAAAAGGAAGAAGGAUCUAUGGUUCGUAAACUUCUUUGCAGGGGAAUAAAGUGCAGGACGUGUCCUGUUUUGUAUGUACCCUGAGAAUAAGGAUCGGCUAACUCCGUGCCAGCAGCCGC